rnacentral:tRNA from 1 species
GCCGAAGUGGCGGAAUAGGCAGACGCAAGCGACUCAAACUCGCUCGGGCUUAGCCCAUGUGGGUUCGACUCCCACCUUCGGCA